UACAGAGGUGGCAAGCGUUGUUCGGAAUUACUGGGCGUAAAGGGCGCGUAGGUGGCCUUCUUAGUCAGACGUGAAAUCCCCGGGCUUAACUCGGGAACUGCGUCUGAUACUGGAAGGCUUGAGUUCGGGAGAGGAAUGUGGAAUUCCAGGUGUAGCGGUGAAAUGCGUAGAUAUCCGGAGGAACACCGGUGGCGAAGGCGGCUUCCUGGACCGACACUGACGCUGAGGCGCGAAAGCUAGGGGAGCAAACGGG
rnacentral:rRNA from 1 species